GUGCAGCAGUCGCGAAACUUCACACUGUGCGAAAGCACGAUGAGGGAAUCCCAAGUGCUUGCACGUAAGUGUAAGCUGUUUCUCUGUCUAAGACGCAGAGAGAGUAAGGGCUGGGUAAGACGGGUGCCAGCCGCCGCGGUAAUACCUGCAGCUCAAGUGGUGACCGUUAUUAUUGGGGCCUAAAACGUCCGUAGCCGGUUUAAUAAAUGCCUGGGUAAAUUGUGUAGCUUAACUAUACGAAUUCCGGGUAGACUGUUAAACUUGAGACCGGGAGAAGUUAGAGGUACUCCUGGGGUAGAGGUGAAAUUCUGUAAUCCUAGGGGGACCACCAGUGGCGAAGGCGUCUAACUAGAACGGGUCUGACGGUGAGGGACGAAGCCCU
rnacentral:rRNA from 1 species